rnacentral:sRNA from 1 species
UGUAGAGAAACAUGAGAGAAAUCACGAAAAAUCUUAUUUAAUCCCACUUUUGUGGACUAUGAAUGGGGUUUUCCUUAUCUUUAUCAUCCUUCUGGUUUUUGCUGCAACUCUUGCGGGAGAAGCCAAUAUGAGGAAAGUUUUUAAUAUUCAAGGACAGAUUGGAGUUAACUUUUAUUGUCUAGGUAAGAGUACCGGGGAAGUAUCAAUUUUAAGGUUAAUGGUUUAUAUAAGUGACCAUGUUGCAGAUAACGUCGACAGCAAGCGGUGAAUAAAAUGUUCUUUAGCAAUAUCAUACCCCAACAUAUGAAGAUCCCAAGUACUCUACAAUGAUAGGCUUCACAAUAAUGGGUGAAUAUAGAUAAGGCUACAGAAGCUAUCCCAUCUAUGAACCCUAAAUCAUUCCCCACAUAGCAAAGUUUCAUAAGACUAACAACGCUUAGAUAACUACACACAAAGCAUGAAGCAACAUUCAUUUCAGCUACCGAUUUAUCUGCAACAGGAUCACUUAUAUAAACCAUUAACCUUAAAACUGAUACUUCCCCGGUACUCUUACCUAGACAAUAAAAGUUAACUCCAAUCUGUCCUUGAAUAUUAAAAACUUUCCUCAUAUUGGCUUCUACCGCAAGAGUUGCAGCCAAAACCAGAAGGAUGAUAAAGAUAAGGAAAACCCCAUUCAUAGUCCACAAAAGUGGGAUUAAAUAAGAUUUUUCGUGAUUUCUCUCAUGUUUCUCUACAAACUUUUCCCACAAACUUGAUCGCUCAAAGUAUAGAAACGCUCUCCA